UGAUGAUCAUUGUACAACUACAAAUGUAAUAAAAUUCAUUGAAUAAUUAAAAAGAGAAAAUUAUGAAGUAGAGGGAUUUCCUAUUGUGGCUUAGCAGGUUAAGAACCCAACUAGCAUCCAUGGGGAUUCUGGUACCAUCCCUCGCCUUGCUCAGUGAGUUAAGGAUCCUGUGUUGCCGCAAGCUGUGGUGUAGGUCUCAGAUGCAGUUCAGAUCCUGAGUUGCUGCGGCUGUGGCGUAGGCUGGCAGCUGCAGCUCUGAUUUGACCCCUAGCUUUGGAAUUUCUAUGUGCUGAGCUAUGGCUCUAAAAAGUAUAAAAAUAAAUAAAUAAAUAAAUAAAUACAUAAGGAUUUGUAAAAACAAUAAUAAUGAAGUAGAAUAUCUUGAGAUCUGUGGAACAAAAUCAGGUGAUUUAACAUAUGUGUAACUGGUGUCCAAGGAGAGGAAAGAAAGAAUGAGGCAGAAGAAAUAUUUGAAAAGAUAAUGAAUAAAAAUUUUCCAAAAUUAAUGAAAGACAUUGAAGAAUCACAAUAAAUCUUAAUAUCAUAAAUCAAAAAUAAAAGAAUUUGGAGUUCCUGUCGUGGCGCAGUGGUUAACUAAUCCGACUAGGAACCAUGAGGUUGCAGGUUCGGUCCCUGCCCUUGCUCAUUGGGUUAACGAUCCGGCAUUGUGGUGAGCUGUGGUGUAGGUUGCAGACGCAGCUCGGAUCCCGCGUUGCUGUGGCUCUGGCGUAGGCCAGUGGCUACAGCUUCGAUUAGACCCCUAGCCUGGGAACCUCCAUAUGCCGCGGGAGCAGUCCAAAGAAAUAGCAAAAAAAAGACCAAAAAAAAAAAAAGAAUUUAUUAAAAACAGACAAAGAAGACAACCGUAAACAGAAUGAUAGUAAGAAUUCUAUCACAGAAAUGAAAGCUAGAAGAGAAUAAAGCCACAUCUUUAAAAUGCUAAAAGAAAAAAAUUUUUAGCCUAUAAUUCAUAUCCUGUGAAGACCGACUUAAAAAUGAAGAUAAAAUACAAUUUCAGAGAGAAAAAAGUUGAGAGUUCAUCUGCAGUAUAACCGUGCCACAGCAAAUACUGUGCCACAACAAAGAGGUUCUUUGCACCAAAGAGAACUUAUAGCACAUGGAAGCCAGGAUCUGCAAGAAAGAACAAAGAGCACCAAAAAGAGAAAAUAUGUAAAGAAAAUUUAUAUCGCUGUCACCACCUCUAUUCCACACUGACCAGAAAAUUUAUUUACUAUAAUAAGGCCAGAAAAAGAAAUCAGACAAAAGAUUCAAAAAGAAGAAGAGUUCCUGCUGUGGCUCAGCAGGUUAAGAACCUGACAUAGUGUCUGUGAGGAUGUGGGUUUGAUUCCUGGCCUCACUUAGUGGGUUAAGGAUCUGGCGUUGCGGUAAGCUGUGGUGUAGGUCACAGAUGGAGUUUGGAUCUGGUGUUGCCAUGGCUGUGGCAUAGGUCUGCAGAUUCAUCUCUGAUUUGACCCCUAGCCUGGGAACUUCCAUAUGCCGCAGGCCCAGCCGUUAAAAAAACAAAACAAAACAAAACAAAAAAAACAAAAAACGCAACAAACUCCAUGGAAUUCACACAUAAAAAAUCAUGGCUAUUGGAACCAAUAAAAGAAUUUAGCAAUGUUUCAGAAGAUAUAGAUCUAAUAUUAAAAAAUCAAUUGUAUUUUCUAAUUAUUAACAAUUGCGAAAUGAAAUUUUAAAAUACCAUUUAAAUAGCCUCAAAACCCCAAAAAUAUCUAGAAGUAAACCUAACAAAUGAUCAGCACAUUAUAAAACAUUACUGAAAGAAAUUUUAAUGUACCUAAAUAAAUACCAUAUUCAUAAAUUGGAAAGCUCAGUAUUGAUAAAAUGUCCAUCUUUCCCAAAAUUAUUAAUAGAUUUGAUACAAUUUCAAUAAAAAGAUCAGCAGGCUUUUUUGAAGAAAUUACAAUUUGGUCUAAAAAUGCAAAGGACUUCUAAUAGCCAAAGCAAUAUUGAUAAGGAAAAACAAAUUUGGUAAGUCUACUCUACUUGAUUUCAGGACUUGAUACAAUAUCACAGUAAUCAAGACAGUGUGGUAUUGGCAUAAUAACAGACAAAAAGAUUGAGGGAACAGAAUUUUAAAAAUCCAGAAACAGGCACAUACACAUAAAUGUGACAUAUACACACAUAUAAGUUACAUAUACACAUAUAUAUAAUAUACACAUAUACGAGUGUACGGAUAUCUGACUAGAGUGGCAUACUGAAUUAAUGAGGAAGAGAAAAUUCUUUCCAUCAUGAUGCAGCAAUAACUGGCUAUCCAUUAGAAAAAAAUUCAACUUUGACCCUACCUCAUUCAAUACACAAAAAAUUAUUUGGAGAUGGAUCAUGAAUGAAAGGUAGUAGAAUAUGACCCCCCCAGCCUUUGCCCAAAUAUGCCGUAUUGGCAAAAGGACUAUUUUGAGCUAAAGGCACUUCAAAAAUAUCAGGUAUAAGAAGAACACUCUGACCUCCCUUUUCCUCCUGAAAGCAAGAGAUAAAAUUUCCAUGUGAAAGUUGUCCUUCUCCCAUGAGGCAAGAAAUGUUCUUAUUGCCAGAGAUAGAGAGUCAAGGUCGAAAAAAAUCAGUACCAAAUAGACCUUGAUAAAAUAACCCUUAUCUUUCUUCAGUCUCCCUAUACAUUUACUUUUCUGCAACUGUCUCUUUGUUCAACCUCGUGCAUAAAUACUUAGGGCUAGCCACGUCUUUGGGUCUUCACUUUUUUUUUCUUUCGGCCAUGCCCAUGGCAUGUGGAAAUUCCUGGGCCAGAGAUCAAACCUAUGCCACAGCAGUGACCAGAGCUGCAUCAGUGACAACACCAGAUCCUUAACCCACUGUGCCACUAGAGAAAUUCAGGUCUUCAUUUUUCUAUGGGACUCCCAUGUACAUGUAUAAAUAAGUCUGUAUGUCUUUCUUCUUUUAAUAUGCCUUAUAUCAAUUUAAUUGUCAGAACUAGCUUGAGAUACUAAGAGGUAGAGGUAAAAUUUCACCUCCCCUACAUGAAUUUACUAUAAUAUUAAUAAUAAAAUAAAAAUCUGGGAAUUCCUGUUGUGACUCAGCAGGUUACAAACCUGACUAGUAUCCAUGAGGAUGUGGGUUCAAUCCCUGGCUUUGCUCAGUGGGUUAAGGAUCCUUCAUUUCUGUGAGCUGUGGUGUAGAUCACAGAUGCAGCUUGGAUCGUACAUUACUGUGGCUGUGGAUCCUGCAUUACUGUGGCAAUGCAGGCUAGGGGUCUCUGAUUUGACCCCUAGCCUGGGAACUUCCAUAUGCGGCAGGUCCUGUGGCCUUAAAAAAGAAAAGAAAAUCUUCUGGAAGAAAACGAGUAAAAACAUCUUUGCCACCCUGGGAUAUACUAAGAUUUGUUAAACAUACUACUAAAAACAAUAUUUAUAUUUCAUCAAAAAUUUCUACUCAUAAAAAGACAAGCAACAGACUGGAAACAUAGUUUUAUCAUUUUCAUUUCAUGAAUAACUUAUAUCUGGAAUAUAUAAAGAACUUCUAUAAGUCAGCAAUAAAAAGUUAAACAGCCCCAAUUAAAAAAAUGGGGGAAAAAAAAAAACUUGAACAGAUA
rnacentral:lncRNA from 1 species